CCUACGGGUGGCAGCAGUGAGGAAUAUUGGUCAAUGGACGAGAGUCUGAACCAGCCAAGUAGCGUGAAGGAUGACUGCCCUAUGGGUUGUAAACUUCUUUUAUAUGGGAAUAAAAUGUUCCACGUGUGGGAUUUUGUAUGUACCAUAUGAAUAAGGAUCGGCUAACUCCGUGCCAGCAGCCGCGGUAAUACGGAGGAUCCGAGCGUUAUCCGGAUUUAUUGGGUUUAAAGGGAGCGUAGGUGGAUUGUUAAGGCAGUUGUGAAAGUUUGCGGCUCAACCGUAAAAUUGCAGUUGAAACUGGCAGUCUUGAGUACAGUAGAGGUGGGCGGAAUUCGUGGUGUAGCGGUGAAAUGCUUAGAUAGCACGAAGAACUCCGAUUGCGAAGGCAGUUCACUGGACUGCAACUGACACUGAGGCUCGAAAGUGUGGGUAUCAAACAGGAUUAGAUACCCCUGUAGUC
rnacentral:rRNA from 1 species